GUACGGGAGGCAGCAGUGGGGAAUAUUGCAUAAUGGGCGAAAGCCUGAUGCAGCAACGCCGCGUGUGCGAUGAAGGCCUUCGGGUCGUAAAGCACUUUUUGAGGGGAUGAGGAAGGACAGUACCCUCAGAAUAAGCCUCGGCUAACUACGUGCCAGCAGCCGCGGUAAAACGUAGGAGGCGAGCGUUAUCCGGAUUUACUGGGUGUAAAGCGCGUGCAGGCGGGUUGAUAAGUUGGAUGUGAAAGCUCCCGGCUUAACUGGGAGAGGUCGUUCAAGACUGUCAGCCUUGAGUACAGUAGAGGAAAGUGGAAUUCCGGGUGUAGUGGUGAAAUGCGUAGAUAUCCGGAGGAACACCAGUGGCGAAAGCGGCUUUCUGGACUGUAACUGACGCUCAGACGCGAAAGCUAGGGUAGCAAACGGGAUUAGAUACCCUGGUAG
rnacentral:rRNA from 1 species